UUUUUUUUUUUUUACAUCAUUCCUAAACCUAAAGAACUUUAGGAAGAAAGUUACAGUAGAACCUAAAGACGCAAGACCCUCAUUCCCAACCUAAAGAAGGUAAUUAAAUCUCUUCUUUCUCAAUUAUAUUCCUACAUAAAUUAAUUGAAUCUCUCAUUGGAUAUCUCCUUUCAAUUUCCCACAAAUUAAAGCUUCAAUUUUAGAACCCAAAGCCAAAAAUCAACCAUUUAGCUCAAAAUCAAAUACCCCAACUGAAUUUAGUACUGUUUUCUCUGAAAAAAAAUGUAUCUUUUUUACCCAUUAACGUGAAUCUGAAUAUUGCUCAAAGCAUUUGGCCGGUAAAUCCACAUGGACACACACAAUUGUCUGUCGUUGCUAGUCUGUUGAAUCUAAAGUCCAGACCUUUUGGUGUGUCCCUUCUCAUUGCUGGUCAUGAUGAGAAUGGUCCCAGCUUAUUUGAACAGUGAAUUGAAGCUAUGUGGAUGAGCAAUGUAAAAAAGGAUGGCAGUUUUGUUGAUGUCAAGUCGAAGAGCAUUAAUGAUAAAAUGGAGGUUGUCAAAGCUAAUGCUCUUUCGGGGUCAACAGAUGAUUCAUCAGAAGAUCAAGAACUCGAUAUAAAUCCCAUAUACUUUGAUGUUGUGGGUGGAGCAAAAAAACGAUAGUGCGUAUGGAUUGGGUUCUCAAGCUUCAACCUUUGUCUAAAGAUAUGACAUGCAAUUUGCCUGAAGUGUCCGGUCAUGUUGCCGAAGAGCGCAUCAAAAUACUUGAGAAAGAGGUAUCGUCUAUGAGAGAAAAUCAAGAGAGAGUUCUUCAAGAGCGUGUAGAGUUGGAGGUGCUACAAGGAGUAGAGCAAGAGGUUUUUCGUUUGAGGCAACAAAGUGAUUAUCGAUUCAAAUCUAUGGAGGAACAAUGGUCUUGCAUGAUAAGCAAUAUGACAUUAUCUUCUCGCUCAUUUAGUAAUACUAAUGCUAAAGUGUUUAAUAUUUUGAGAAUAGUUAUCUAGUUUAAAUUUUAAACAUUGGUAGACUUUGCUUAUUGAAGUUGUUAUGUUGUAUGUUU